rnacentral:tRNA from 1 species
GCGUUAUCAACGGCUUGACCAGACAGUAUUGGCACCCAAGGGGACUUAAAAUCUGCCGACCAUUGGUCUUGCGGGUUCAAGUCCCGCCGUCCGCACCA